rnacentral:rRNA from 1 species
AGCGAACGUUUGCGGCGGGCCUAACACAUGCAAGUCGAACGCACUAGCAAUAGUGAGUGGCGCACGGGUGCGUAACACGUGGGUAAUCAACCCUUCAGCUUGGGAUAACGACUUGAAAGGGUCGCUAAUACCGGAUACGGCGCGAGAGGCUUCGGCUUCUCACGAGAAAGCCUCGCAAGGGGCACUGAAGGACGAGCCUGCGGCCCAUCAGCUAGUUGGUGAGGUAAGAGCUCACCAAGGCUAAGACGGGUAGCUGGUCUGAGAGGAUGAUCAGCCACACUGGAACUGAGACACGGUCCAGACUCCUACGGGAGGCAGCAGUGGGGAAUAUUGCGCAAUGGGCGAAAGCCUGACGCAGCCACGCCGCGUGAGCGAUGAAGGCCUCGG